rnacentral:rRNA from 1 species
AACGCUAGCUACAGGCUUAACACAUGCAAGUCGAGGGGCAGCAUGGUCUUAGCUUGCUAAGGCCGAUGGCGACCGGCGCACGGGUGAGUAACACGUAUCCAACCUGCCGUCUACUCUUGGACAGCCUUCUGAAAGGAAGAUUAAUACAAGAUGGCAUCAUGAGUCCACAUGUUCACAUGAUUAAAGGUAUUCCGGUAGACGAUGGGGAUGCGUUCCAUUAGAUAGUAGGCGGGGUAACGGCCCACCUAGUCUUCGAUGGAUAGGGGUUCUGAGAGGAAGGUCCCCCACAUUGGAACUGAGACACGGUCCAAACUCCUACGGGAGGCAGCAGUGAGGAAUAUUGGUCAAUGGGCGAGAGCCUGAACCAGCCAAGUAGCGUGAAGGAUGACUGCCCUAUGGGUUGUAAACUUCUUUUAUAUGGGAAUAAAGUGCAGUAUGUAUACUGUUUUGUAUGUACCAUACGAAUAAGGAUCGGCUAACUCCGUGCCAGCAGCCGCGGUAAUACGGAGGAUCCGAGCGUUAUCCGGAUUUAUUGGGUUUAAAGGGAGCGUAGGCGGAUUAUUAAGUCAGUUGUGAAAGUUUGCGGCUCAACCGUAAAAUUGCAGUUGAUACUGGUAGUCUUGAGUGCAGCAGAGGUAGGCGGAAUUCGUGGUGUAGCGGUGAAAUGCUUAGAUAUCACGAAGAACUCCGAUUG